rnacentral:rRNA from 1 species
GGGAUUGAAGCUUGCUUCAAUUGCCGGCGACCGGCGCACGGGUGAGUAACGCGUAUCCAACCUUCCGUACCCUCAGGGAUAGCCUUUCGAAAGAAAGAUUAAUACCUGAUAGUAUCUUAAGCACACAUGUAAUUAAGAUUAAAGAUUUAUCGGUGUACGAUGGGGAUGCGUUCCAUUAGGUAGUAGGCGGGGUAACGGCCCACCUAGCCAACGAUGGAUAGGGGUUCUGAGAGGAAGGUCCCCCACAUUGGAACUGAGACACGGUCCAAACUCCUACGGGAGGCAGCAGUGAGGAAUAUUGGUCAAUGGACGAGAGUCUGAACCAGCCAAGUAGCGUGAAGGAUGAAGGUCCUACGGAUUGUAAACUUCUUUUAUAAGGGAAUAAACCCUCCCACGUGUGGGAGCUUGUAUGUACCUUAUGAAUAAGCAUCGGCUAACUCCGUGCCAGCAGCCGCGGUAAUACGGAGGAUGCGAGCGUUAUCCGGAUUUAUUGGGUUUAAAGGGAGCGCAGACGGGUCGUUAAGUCAGCUGUGAAAGUUUGGGGCUCAACCUUAAAAUUGCAGUUGAUACUGGCGUCCUUGAGUGCGGUUGAGGUGUGCGGAAUUCGUGGUGUAGCGGUGUAAUGCUUAGAUAUCACGAAGAACUCCGAUUGCGAAGGCAGCACACUAAUCCGUAACUGACGUUCAUGCUCGAAAGUGUGGGUAUCAAACAGGAUUAGAUACCCUGGUAGUCCACACGGUAAACGAUGGAUACUCGCUGUUGGCGAUAUAAUGUCAGCGGCUUAGCGAAAGCGUUAAGGAUCCCACCUGGGGAGUACGCCGGCAACG